rnacentral:rRNA from 1 species
AGAACGAACGCUGGCGGCGUGGAUAAGACAUGCAAGUCGAACGCGACUUAUUGAGUUAGCAAUAACUUGGUAAGUUGAGUGGCGAAAGGGUGCGUAACACGUGGGAAUUUACCGAGAAGUGGGGAAUAGCUCGACGAAAGUCGAAUUAAUACCGCAUAUGAUCGCAAGAUCAAAGCCGGGGACCGCAAGGCCUGGCGCUUUUUGAGAAGCCCGCGGCCCAUCAGCUAGUUGGCGGGGUAAAAAGCCCACCAAGGCUAUGACGGGUAGCUGGUCUGAGAGGACGACCAGCCACACUGGAACUGAGACACGGUCCAGACACCUACGGGUGGCAGCAGUCGAGAAUUUUUUCACAAUGGACGAAAGU